UUAAAGAAGCUUUAAGCCUCUAAAAUAAAAUGACCGACAGCAAACAUGUAGCAUACAUGAAAUCAUAAAAAAUAAUAAUUAAAAAGUAAUAAAGUAACGUAGCAAGCUUGCAUGAAAUUUCAUGUUAGUAGCUGCAUUACUAGCAUAUUUCAAGUUGUAUAUAAUGCAAAAGAUACUGUCAGAGAAGAACAGAAAUUACACAAUUAGUAUCCUAGAAAGAAUCGCUCAUAAGCAUAAAAGCAAUUCAUUUAAUUAAAGUUAUGAGAAUUGAUAUAAUAAUCCCUAGUCGUCUCAUGAAGAAUUUGGGCUCACAAAAAGCAGAGUGAAGGAAAAAGAUUUAUGUAACUCAAUUCGACUAGUUGGAGAUUCAGGCUUAGGUGAAUUCAGUUGCAUAAAUAACUAGUUGAAUCCAUGUUUUCAAUAUCCAUUAGUGAUUAUCAUCAAAUUCACAACCCAUUGAUACAUUCCAGAAAAAGGUUGAUAAAUAACGUGAAGAUCAACAGAAAGAAAAGCAGACAAAAAGAAGAGGGAAUCUACAAAGUUAUCUAUUUUUCCAUACCGAAUCUGCGGCAGCCUGCAAUGUAACGUGGUCACCCCAUUCACCACUCCUGAUUUUAGCCACAUAAAAAGUACAUACAUAUGAGCAUGAGCAUGAAUCUAUUUAAAGAAAGCUAUGGGAAUUUUUUCUUUAAAAAAAACAAGAAGAAAGAAAGAAAGAAAGAAACAGAGAUAAGUAACAAACUUGCUCAUUUUCUUCAGAUAGUCCUCAUAAGCCAUAGGAACAUAGCUGCUGUACAUUUGCGGCUGAGAUUUGAGCUGAUGAAAUCAACAUGGCGUGAAAUAUGAUUACAGUCAUGCUUACAUGUAUACGAAUGGAUCAAGAAGACUCUAGUACAAGUACAUAGAAGCACACUUAUUAAAACACCAACCAACCUGAUCAAUAACUCGUUCUCUCACCAAUUUGUGGUGCUCAGGAGAGCGAUAGAGUUGAUCUGACAGAGAACAAAACUGCAAAAACACAUAAACAAGUGAGACAUACCUUGAGCAAAUAACACUAGGUAAUAGAAUUCUAGAAGCAAGCUUUUUGCACUACCAUUUAUCUUUAAAAUAAAGUGGGUACCAACCUGACAGUUACCAUCUCCUUGAACUUUAUUCUCAACAAGAUAAUAUACCUUUAACCUAAUAAAACAGAAAAGACAUUGAUAUUAACAAUAUUGUUCAAGUCAAAAUAAUUUAGAGGCAAAACCACAACAUUCAUCAAGGAAGGAGACACAUGAAACACACCAAAAACCUAGAUCUCAAAACCCAUACUGUAGGAGAACAUGAUAACAUGAAAGAUACUAACACCCACACACUAUGCCUAUACUGAAACCUCUACCCCCAAAAUGUUAAUAAUUGAUAAUAAUAUGAAUGUAUCUAUCUAGAAAAUAAAGUUAUCCACAACAUUUUCCGAUGGCAGGUAUACCAUAAGGCACCCAAAUAUCCACUUCCAGCCAGUUCUCUAUCUCCUGUUGUAGUUUGAAGCAGUACAUUAUAAUAUAAAGACAAAUACUUGGGGAUUCACACCUUAUGAGAAGGUCCAGGAGACAAAUUUGCAUAAAAUUAAAAACACAGGAGAGGAAUAUAUAUACAGCACCUUUCUAGCAGUCUUUGAUGAUCUGACAUCUGUUCAUCCUCCGAUGGUAUUUCUCCAUUAGUUUUAGGAACAUGCUGCCAAAAACAGAUGAGAAAUUUAGGAUACUCAAUUCUUCAUUUUUGAAAGGAUAUCAAUCACUCAAGUUUGGAAGGAAUAUUAUCUUAAUCUUCAUUGCAAUGUGGUAUAGUUUGGCAGAAGUCAUACUUACAGAAACAGGAACCAUCUCAGUUAUCCUCUUGCCCACUUCACCAUCAAGAGCAGAUUCAUUUUCUAUAUUUAAAAUAAGUGUCAGCUCUUCCAUCUCGAGGGAAUUUUCUCCAUUGCUAGAAGAUGAAGUAGGAAUCAAUAUUUCAUCCUUCUUGAUAGAAUAAUCUGCCAUAUUUUUGCUGCAAUCAUCAGCAUCCAUCAUGCUUUCACUGUGAACAGUGACUGUCUGAUCAUCCUCAUGCUCUACACAUGGCAGAUAAAAUAAAAUACAUCAUGAAGAAUAGAGGGCCAAAAAUAACCAUGGAAUUGCAUAGCAGGUGCGGAAUUUCCUAGUACCAGAACCAUGGUAUGUUUCAUGAGGACCAGGCCAGUGCUGUGUAAUAAUUGAUUCUCGUUCAGUGUUAUUGAACCCAGAUGCUUCCACAUAAGCAAUCCUUGAAAGUUCUUCUUGGAGAGCACGAGCAAUAACAGCAUCAUUCUCCACAUUACUUGCAUAUAACGGGUCAUUAUAAUAUUCUCUAACAUACUCAACGUUAAAUGUAUCCAUGCCAUAACAAGUAACAGAAUUACAUGAACCAGAAUUUGAAAGUGUACAAACAUCAAUUAGAUCAUGGAGACCCCAUCGAACAACAUCUGGAUCCUGCUCAUAUAAAAUCAUCUUGGCUAUCUCUUAAAGAAAGCACAACUGCCUUGUGAUAUGUACUUGCACAAAUCUUUCUAACGGGCACCUGCCAAAUUAGCCAUAAUAUGGAAAAUCUAAUCAAAUUCACUAUACAGAAACAAAACAAAUAACUUCAAACUUUCACUAAUUAAAAGCCAAAACUUUCUAUAUCCUACAAUAAGGCCACAAAACCCAUUUGCAGCAAUCGAAAUUAAACCCUCCUAAUUUCAACAUAAAAAACCCUCCUAAUUUCAACAUAAAAAACCACUCAUGCAAUUACGCUGCUAACCCAAUUCCCAUCCUUCAAUCAAAACUUCAUAUUUCCAACAUCAAGAAGCUACAUCUUAGUUUGAACCUUAAAAGAAAACAUCAUUAAACAAACAUCUAUCACCAAAUUCAAUUAAAAAAAAAUGCAUCAACAAAGCAGCAAAAAGGACAUAACUUUACUUUAAAAAAAGAGAAAAAAUUCCUUUCCUUGAAACCCCUAACAACAUUCAAUUCAAUCAAAAACCCCAGAGAAAAACAAAACCCAUCACCAAUUCAACCAAACACAACAUAAAGUCUUCAGAUUUCCAACAUCAAGAAGCUACGUCUUAGUUUAACCCUUAAAAGAAAACAUCAUUAAACAAACAUCUAUCACCAAAUUCAAUUAAAAAAAAAUUCAAAUGCAUCAACAAAGCAGAAAAAAGGACAUAACUUUACUUUAAAAAAAGAAAGAAUUCCUUUCCUUGAAACCCCUAAUAACAUUCAAUUCAAUCAAAAACCCAAGAGAAAAACAAAACCCAUCACCAAUUCAACCAAACACAGCAUAAAGUCCAAACCUUAUUCAGAUCACAUAAAAAAAAAUCUGAAUACAACAACAUAAGUACGUACCUUGUUCAGGUUUUUAACUCCAAGAUAGGCAACAAAGAAUCUAUCUUUUUCUUUCUUAGUUUCCCUUUCGAACUAGAUAGAAAAAGGGAUUUACUUGAAAACCGAACAAGUGACUAGGAAGACUCUUAACAGAAAGAAUAUCAUAGAGAUAUUGGGUUUGGUGAAAGCGGCCGUCUAUAGAGGGUGUUUGGGAGUGUGGUUGUGGUUGCUUUUCAAAGUGCUUUUCACUCAGAAAAGUAUGCCAACAAUAUUUUUUUAUUUUUUAAAAAUCAUUUUUGAGAUCAGCACAUCAAGAUGAUUUGAAAACAUCAAAAACAUAUUACUUCAAAGCAAAAAAAAAAAAAAAAAAAAUUCAAAUUUUUUGAAAAGUGCUUUCCAACAGCAAUGCCAAACGCGCAUCCUUUGUUGAAAUUUGUAUAAAGUUGAUGAUGCCUUGCGGUGUGCUAUCUCUGAAUCCUCCGAUUCUCGGUUUCUUGAGCCACGUGUAUUUUUUCUGGAUUAUCUUUUUUCUUUAGUUAACUUUUCGGUUUCUGCUUGUUAAGAAUUUUAAAAGUUUUUUUUUUUUAUUAUUAAUUUUGCGGAUUAGUUUGAUAUUUGGGGUCCGCUGUACAAUUAGUUUCUACCUUCUACAAUUAGUUUUUAGAAUAUUCCAAUGUUUUUCUGGAAGGUUGAGUACGUUGUUUGUUACAAAUUAAUAUUAAUUAUUGAUGACUGAAUUAAUUAAUAAGAUCAUGUUUAUUUUUGUAUUUUUAAAAAAGUUAUUUUUUAUUUUUUAUUUUUUAUUUUUUUUGCUUGAAAUUAAUAUUUUUUUGGUGUUUUUAAAUUAUUUUGAUGUGUUAAUAUUAAAAAUGAUUUUUAAAAAAUAAAAAAUAUAUUAUUUUAAUAUAUUUCUGAGUAAAAUAUAUUUUAAAAAACAACUAUAAUCAUAUUUUCAAACACACUUUAAAUCCUAGAAUGUGCUGGUUAUUAAUUUCUAAGCGUUGGAAUUUUGGAUUGUUUAGUAGAACAUUUUUAUUUUAUUUUUAUGAUUUGUUUGGUAUUAUAGGAUUAAAUACCAAAUUGUUUUGACAUACAACUACCACCGAUUGAUUUUAUAUUUCUUUUACUCAACAAAUAAUUUUGCCCUUGAUUUGACAAUAAUUAGUUGCGUGUAUUUAUUUUUUAUUUUUUAUAAUAUGUUCCUUUGCAUAUUCAUUAUAAGGGAUGUUGUGUUUAAUCUCCUGGUGGAUUUUUUUUUUAUUUUCCAGUUAAAAAACAGUGAUUUCCAAAGUAUUUUAUUAUAUAUAAUCUUUCUAUGCCAUGAAAUAUUCUAUACAAGAUUCUUUAAGAUCAUGCAGUGAUUUGAGGUGGAAAAAUCUAAGUAAAAAAGGAGAAAAAUUUGAGAGUGAAGUUUUAAAGGUGUUAAAAAUAUUAAAAGAAGAAAGUUUUAAGAAUGUUUGUCAAGAAUUAUAAAAAUCAUUAACCAUCAUCAUGGAUCCUAGUAUUUCUUAAAUUAAUUUUUAAUUAGAUAAAAAUAAAUAACAAAUUUAAAACAAGGGGUCGAAUGCAUUACAGCCAUGUCUUUGAACUUAAAACUCUAUAAUGUGGACGGACUGACCUUUUUCCUUUUUUUUGGUUUGAAGACAGAGAAGCGCGGCGAGGAUAGGAUAAGUGAACUGGCAGAUGGGGUAUUGAUUUCAGUCCUUUCCUUCAUGACAAUGAAGGAGGCGAUAAAAACUAGUGUCCUUUCUUGUAGAUGGGAAAAGCUCCGGCCUUCUCAACCCUAUUUGAACCUUGAUGCUUGGACUUUUUCUUGAAGGAUCUGGUUCAGUAAAUUCCAUCCUCGAGACUCCCUCUUUAGAAUAUAUUGCAUAUUUGCAUGGAUGCAGCAUUUUGUGGCUCUAAUCGCGUAUCCUUCUGGAAUUUGGCAGCAUAAAUAGAAUACACUGAAUCUUGUUGUCUUAGUUUAACUCAGAAUUACAAAGGGAAAAGGACCUUUGAAACUCCCUCCAAAGCCUCCUCGGAGUAGAAACUGGCGGGGCAGCCUUGUGACACCUUUUGCUGGUAACAACAUGCUGGUCUUGCAUAGCUGUCCAGCAAACCCGGCAAGCACGUCCUUUUGUCCAAGUACUCCACAAUGAGCGUCCCAUUGCAUGCUGAUAUACUUUCCUUGUUCACUUGCUAAUUAUCUAGUACAAGAUUUUGUGUGAUUGUCUGCUUUUAAGAAUAUAAACCUUCUGUGUUUGUAUGAAUAGGGUUGUAAUGGUUCUGAUUUCUACCCAUUUGCAGAUUUUAAGGUACUAGCAUUAUCCAACUCAGAGAAGAAGCCUGCAUCAAGCAAGUUAUCACUACAGUCCAAGGGGCUUACAUCCUGAGACUGACGAUUCAAAGUCCACCAAAGUUGAAUGACCGUUCGUUUUUUAGGGAUCAAAGAAAGUAGAAUUCUAGCGCUCCUCUGUGUGUUUAUUUUAGCCGAGGGCAGUUCGUUUUUGGAUUGAUCUUAAUGUCUCACGGCUUUGGCAUUUGGUUUACUGCCCAACUCUAUACUCUGAUUCAGUAGCUUUUUUCAGACACAUCUGAGGCAGCUUCUUAAAAGUGCUAGUGCUAGUGCUUUUUAUAUACUUGACAGUAAAAUAAUUUCUAAUUUUGAACCCAUAUCGCCUGUGGCUUUAGUUUAAUAUCAUCAUCCUUUAUGAGACGAGUCUAGCGGACCAUUAGACCACUUCAGAAAUCCAUCUCUACAGAUUAUGGCUCGUAUUUUAUAGACAACGACUUCUGAACCAAUUCUACCACUACCAUCUGUUAAAGAAUCGUGCGUGCAUUAUUUGUCUUCUUGAUAGGUGAGUCAAAAAGCUAAUAAUUUAACAGGGGGUAUCCUGUUCGGAGAAAGAGCAUUUGGGCUCCCUCACUAGGCACCAGGCUGGCCCGUGUUGCCGUGUUGGACGGCUGGCUUCUCUAGGUGGAUUGGUGGGUGUUGAAGAAUGUCCACGUGGAGAUAAAAUGGCCUAUCAAUGUCCAUGUGUUAACCCGGAUAUAUCAACCCUUACUGCAUAAUUUUGCAUUCAAGACGACAUUGAUUAUCAUUGUUUCUGUCCGUGUGUGCUUGUAUGGUAUACGGCGUAUAUACUUCCAUAGAGGCCAUCGAUCAGUGAAUUAUAUAUACGCAAUACACAUGAGCGAAUGUAAUCCAUUCUAAAACGAAAAUCUGUGCACAAAUUAACUCAUUUAUUUUAUCAAACCUUUACAAUUGUAUCUCGAGGAAAGCAGGUAGAACAAAGUAGUUUACUUACACUUAACAAAAAGGCGGCCUCCAUACAUGAGCUGCUUCAUCAAAGCAAGAUUCAUUGCCUAGUUCUCCAAGCAGACCAACAUCCACUCUCUCCAAUUAUUGGAUCCACAAACCUCAUCUUUAUACGUUCUCUUUUAGAUCUUUCGGGAGCAUCUUUCGGGGCCAAACUCUUCAUAGGGAGCAAGGGGCUUCCAUUGUCUGUUGUGUCAACAAUCUUGUUGAUCAUCUCCAGGAUUUCACUCAUUUUGGGGCGUGUUUUUGCCUGUCUUACCAAGCAACAAUUUGCUACGGCAGCAAGCUUCUGGGCAGUCUUAAUGUUAUAUUUCCCCUCAAGCCUUGGGUCCAAGAUCAACCUGAACUUUCUUGCACCAGAGAGGUGUGGCCUGACCCAUUCCAAGAGUUUUUGUUCAUUCUUUGGGCGGUUCCUAUCCAAAGGACGUCUGCCCGUUAUAAGUUCGUAUAGAAAAACCCCAAAGCUCCACACAUCGCUUUUAGAAGUGAGACGCCCGGUUCGAAUAUAUUCAGGAGCUGCAUAUCCGAUUGUUCCAACUACCUGUUUGCAAAUGAGACAAAUUGGUUCCUCAGUUUCUUUAUAUCUACAAACUGAUCUUACUACAGAGUUCUGAUGAUGCAGUAAUACAGUCUCAAAGACCCUAGAUGGCUGAAUAAAUAGCGUUAUCAAAUCAGCAUAAGAAAGUUCGCAGGAACAUAAGUGAUGUGAAACUGAAAGCAAAAAGUUAUAGUUCGGCUUCUAAUGCUACUGAUUGAUAAGCCUUGUCAAUUCAGCAUAAGAGCAGUUUGUUUGACAUGAUUGAAGGAUCAUUUUUAGUAAUCAUAAACAUACUGCAGUCGAAACAUGGCUCAAACCAUCUGAAGGUCCCAAUCUGGCCAGCCCAAAGUCUGAUAGCUUUGCAUUCCAUUGGUCAUCCAGUAGUAUGUUUGAAGACUUGACAUCUCUGAAAAUAAUCUGUACAAACAAUGAAAGAAAAAUGGUACAUGCAGUAAAGUGAAGUGAAGCAACUAGACACAGUAGCACAACCAAAUUGAAGAACGCCGAACAAACUCGAAAUGAAGAGCAGAGGGGGAGGGAAAAAUAUGGUAAAUAUGAAGAUCCAAACCCAACCCAAUCUCUGAAGGAGGGUUGGAGGUUCACAAAAACUCAGUAAUAGCAAGCUUAUAACAAUAUCUUAGAGAGUCAAGUUAAAAAUACCUGAAAAUCCAUUCCUUCAUGGAGGUAUGCUAAGCCUCGGGCAGCAUCCUGGGCAAUUUUUACUCUUGUCGCCCAGGGAAGAACCUUCUGAAAUUUACUUGACAAGUGAUCCUGCACACUUUUGUUGGGCAUAAAUUCAUACACCAGAAGGCGCUGGACUCCCCGUUCAUCGUCCUCAGCACAGUAGCCCACUAAUUUGACAAUAUUUGGAUGUUCAGCAAUCCCUAGAAAAUUUACUUCAGUCACCCAUUCCUUGUGCCCCUGUGAACAAAGAUGAAAUCACCCUUAGCAACAUCUCAUAACUAAGAAUCUGAAGGCAAUAACUUUCUCUCUUCUUAAUUACAAUCUUCUGAGUUCAAUUCUCAAUUCAUCAGAUUUCAAGUGCUAAGAUUUUUCUAAGGCAAUAAUCUAAAGACAAUGAAAUUUUGUCUUGUUAACAAUUUUCUCAUCAAGGACUCGCUCCCCAAACAGUAAAUGUUGAUUUAAGAAUGAUAUGUAGUAACCAGGCAUGGAGAAAAAAAGGAAAACUUGCCUGGAGCCCUCUUCUGCCCAGUUGUUUGACAGCGAUAUCGAUCUUCUUACUUGAGUCUUCCAUGCUUCGGAUUACUCCCCUGUACACACCACCAAAUCCACCCUCUCCAAUCAUGACAGAGCGGCUGAAAUUCUUUGUCGCUGUCUUCAGUUCUGAGAAUGUGAAGACUCUAAGAUUGCUCUGUCUUUGAGACAGAGCAGCAAAUGAGUUCUUUGUGGACGAGUCUGUGCUAAAAUCUGAUACAUUCUGAGAAUUGAACUCAGACCCAGAUUUCCUCAGGUCACGAUCAGUUGACAUCGACGUUGAUGUAGACGAAGUAGAUCGGGCAGAACAGAUUUGGUUACAAGUCUUUGGUUCUUCAUUUUUCUCUUUAUUAGAGAAGUGAAAACACUUCAUAGUUCCUAAAGGACCAACUGCCUAGUUGCAUACCCACAAUUGUGUUAGCAUUACAACAACGACAUCAUAAUUAAGGAUACGAGAAAACAAAAGUACAGAAACCAAACAUGUUUACAAACUCGAAACACAUCCAAAUACCCAUAAAAUUACCAAUGGUAUUCAAACAAGCAAAACCUUAACCUAUGAAGUCAGGCAAUUUAUUCAAUUGCAAAACUAAAUAAAUUAUCCAAAACUUGCAUGCUAAUCAAAUCAACCAAGCCAAAAAGAGGCCAAAUUUUCCUCACAAAGCACUUUAAUAAAAGGUAAUUAACUUAAAACAUGAACCCUAUUGUUAUUUUCUAAAGGCAAUAACUUUCUCUCUUCUUAAUCACAAUCCCAUAACAUAAAGAGCCUAAGCCAAGUUGUUGCCAUUUUCCUUUCAUAAAGAGCCUAAGCCAUCAGAAUUCACCAACCAAGAUCAUAUGCUCCUGAUUCCCGGGAGCAUUGUCUUUGAAAUCUCAUCCAUAACCAGAAGCAUCCUAUCUUUAUUCAAACAACCAUGAACCAACGCAAAGCUUGGAGACGAUACACCACUGAGGGUGAAAUAGUCACCAACCAAGAACAGAAGCUCCAGAACCCAAUUCAUCCAUGUAAGGCAGCCUUCAUUUCAUUUACCCAUUCUCUCACAUGACAAUAAGCUCCUUAUUCUUCUUUAAAGAAACAUUUUUUUUCUUAAACAGUGCAACUAGAUAAGCAAGCCCAUCAAGAAACAAACGCAAGCAAAGAUGUUAAAGAAAGUCUGCUAAAGCAUCAAAAUUUAAUACCCAUUUUGCAAGAUAAACAACAAAAGGAGAAAAAAAAGCCACUCACCUCUCUCUCUAUAGUAAAAAAUAGACGAAAAGAACACAGCUCCUGCUAUCCUUCACAGGUAUUCACGUAAACAAAGAUUCAGAAUCCAAAAGGGAGAGCAGUGAUUGAUUAUAGACUCAACAACGAGCACUUCAUGGUCAAAAAGUCAAUAAAAGGCAGCUGGACUGUCGUUGAUUUUAAUAUGCAGGAGAGGUUGUUUUUUAAAAUAUAUUUUGUUUUAAAAUAGAUUAAAAUAAUAUUUUUUUUUAUUUUUUAAUAUUAAUAUAUAAAAUCUAUAUUUACUAAAGAAAGCAAAAAAAAAAAAAUGAAAAUGUGUGGAGGGUUAUAUUUGCCGUGUGAGAGGAAAAACCGUGUGAAAGAUACUGAUAAGUGUGUUGUGGGAUUGUUUCUCGGAAAAAAUGAGAUUCUUCUUACAGGUGACAAUUACAUGGAUUUUUUUUAUUUAAAAAUAUAUUUUUUAAUAUUAACACAUUAAAAAAAUUUAAUAUUUUCUUUUUAAAGUCAACAUAUUUUUAUAAUACAUUAAUAUCAAAAUCAAACGCCCCUCUAGUAAUCUGUACAGUUUUUGUUUGUAUCUAAUUUCUUAAUGAUAUAUCUAAUACACGUUCGUUGGUGUUUUCAAAUGUUAGUUGGAAGUUGGAAACCAUUAAAGUCCCUGUGCUUUUAUUUUUUUUUCAACUUGGUUUUUUUUUUUAUCAAUAAUGAAGGUAUUUUCGUCCUCCAUUACUUUUUUUUCUAACUAGUUCAUUAAGAAAUUGUAUAUUAAAAUGUGCAUAAUUGUAUUUUUUUAAUUAACAUGAGUGUCUGGGUCAGUUUGUACAUAUUUCGACUAAUUUCACGAACCCUAAAGUUAACGACCAUGUAAGCCUCCAGUGGCCCUGAGAUUUGUGAGACUCGAACUGGUGAUCUCUAGGGAGGAAAUCCAAUAUCUAACCAGUUGAACUACAGCCCUCAGAAUUAUACAUGGAAAUUGUACAUUGAUUAUGCCGAUCACUUUUUUUUUUAUUUGAUGAGAGAAUAUUGUUGGUAGCCAAGAUUGUAAUGGUUGCUUCGUGUCAUGUGUUAGUGUCUUAUUAGCUGGACAAAGCUGUGUGUAGAGAGAGUGACAACUAUUUCAUAGACACUAGACUGGUUUUAAACCUCGUAAGAUGACAAGCAACAUAGGCUUUAUAUUUCGAGCAUGAAUUAGGCUCACGUCAUGCAAUAUCGAAGGCUAGUCCUCUUCUUUCUUAAUGUUUAAGACAUGAAUAAUGUUUUGUAUGUUCUUAGCAACAUGCAAGGCACUACAUGUUACUAUAUAUGGUGAGCAGGUAGAGGGUGUGAUUGCAAGAAAGAUUCUUUUUUGCCCUUUUAAGAUCAGUUUUAGUAAAGAUGGGAUUUGAAAUUAAUUAAAAGAUGAAAGAUCUCGCUUCUCUUCAUUAAUGUCAUUUCAACAAGUCUUGGUCUACUGUGCAGUGGUAAAUUCUUGAUGUGAUCUGAUGCUACUUGUCUGCAAUGGUCAAUAAUAUUCCACCAUCAAGCAUGCCCCACGCUCACAAAAUGAUAAAAAUCCCUUUGAAUUUGAACUCGAGCUCGCUUGAAAGAUAAAGCUUCCCGUAAGAACUGGUGAUCAAAAGAUCACGCCACUAGGUGGUGCGAUCUACAUUCCAGAGUCAAUGAAACUUAAUUCUCUAACCAGACAAAACUGAGAAUCAGUCACUUUCAUGUCCAAAUUCAUUCUACGUGCGUAAAGCGAAUGUUAUGAGAUCUGGCUCCACUCAGUGAGCCAGUCAAUCCUUCCUAAAAUUGCCUUGGGUGAGAAAAAAAAAAAACACGUUAGAAAAUAUUACUAGGGUUUUAAAAAGAUUAUCCGAAUUAAUUCAAAUAACCCGGUCAUGAGAUUCGGAUUGAGUUGUUGAGUCUUUUAGACCAUGCCUAGGAUAUCAUAUAAUGGCUAUAAUUGAGCUCAGCUACAAUACUAUGGGCUAAGCUCACAGUUGAGCCAGGCGUCAAAUUGCCUACACAUGCCAUAUUCUGGUAAGUUUAGAGAAAUUGCACGAGUCUUUCCUGUAUGUUCAUGAAUUAUUGUCAUUGGCAUGGCAUUGCUUUAAAUGGGAUUGGAACUACUUCAUCUCGUAAACUAGUCUAGAGAAGGCCAUAAUAGUUGCAUUUAGCAGGGCUAUUUGGCUUAUCCCAGAAUCAAUUUCUUUUGCACCCAUGCGCAGGUCCCAAGCAGUUUCUGAUUUUUCUAAGAGAAAAAUCAUGAGCUUAAUGUUUUUUUUUUCCUUUUAUACUCCUGCCAAAUGUUUCUGCAUAAAGGAAUAAAGAGAAUUACUCCUCGAUUUCAUAAUUUUCAAGUAAACAACACGAGAAAAGAGAGACCAUUAUUUGAUACGGAAGUAUUACAGAACCAUUUAAAUUUUCAAAUUGUUGUGAAGGUUCCUUCUGCCCUCAUGGCCUUACGAGCAUGAUACGUAAGUAUUAGAGAAUCAUUUAAAUUUUUUUCUUGCAAGUAACUUUCAGACGAGAACCCUCAAAGACCCUAUUAGGAAAUUCCAUGAUUUGUCAAUUAUAUACUGUUUAUAUUUCAAACUUACUAUCUCUUCCCCUCGAAACAGAAGCUUGAAGAAUGAUGUCUUUUUACUUCAUUUUACUCCGAUGCAUUACUCUAGAAAAUGGAAGAAGAAAUGCUAUAGUAUUCAGUUCUCUCCUUCAUAAAGUGUUGGGUUAGUUUAAUUACUUGUAGUUGUAGCUUUACAUCUCUCAAGAAUCAAGUGUUACUUCAUUAAUGAUCUGGAAUGUGCACUCUCCGGUUUUCUCUGAUAUUUUAUCGUGUUUUGAAGCUUGCCCGUUAGGCUCAAGAGGACAACUGGAGCAUGCGAACCCCGCGCAAGUCUGGAUUCUACUUCACCACUGUCACUCUACUCUUUGGAUCUGAGGUUUGCCUAUAGGCUAUAAUGCAUGUACCCUAUUAUUUAAGAUACUGAAGCGAUUGUGAAGAUCUUCACUAUUAUAUCACUACCUAAUAUAACUUAUUUGUUACCUAGUUUAGAUAUGAUUGUGUAUUUAUUAUUAGCAUAUAAUCUUAGUAGUAAUCAUGGGAGAAAAUAUAUGCAAGAUUGUCUUUCCUUGCUGCAAGCUUUUCCCACUCUAUAUAUACAUAUGUAUAGCAUAAGAAUGGGAUGAAUUAUAACUCUGUUUUACCACUGCACUGUCUCACGUCUCUUCAUUGCUCUAUUUCAAAUUUCUUCACCUAUGUAUGUAUGAUCAGGCAGGUACAAUUAUCAACUGCCUCCAGGACAGCCAAACCAUGUUUAGCUUGUAAUCCAAAGUCUGGAUUCUCAGGAGUAGUUUCGAUGGCUGCUAAUACUGAAAUCAAGAAAAGGCCUCAGAUUGAGAUUUCAUUUAAAGGCCUAACCCUUACUUUAAGAGCCAAUAACAAAACAUCUAUUAAGGUGUGUAACAGGAAGAAUCAAGCCUGGCCGUAUUACAGCUGUAAAGGGUCCAUCAGUAGCUGGGGAGACAACGUUUCUUUCUGCUCUUGCAGGGAAAGCAAUUGGAUGCAGGAUGAUUGGUUUGAUUCUUAUCAAUGGGAAAAACGAGUCCAUCUACUCAUAUAAGAAAAUUAUCGGUUUUGUUCCACGAGAUGAUAUAUAUCGUGCAUGGGAACUUGACAGUUGAAGGGAACCUCUGGCUCAGCGCACAUUGCAGGUAUGCCAUAAAUCGUCUCUUUCACAUUUCAACAUUAACUUGAUCUCUUUUUUAUCGUGGGAAAUUUUUUUCAUGUAUCAUUUACCAAGUUUCUGUAGAUAAUGAAUUAAUUUCAAACGAUAAUCGAAAAGCUCAUCGCCAAUAAGCAACAGUCUAUAUUGGACAUAUAUACAAUAGGUGGAACUAUGCUUGUGACCAGGUGUCUCAUGUUUUUCAAAUAUUGCUUUUAUAGAAGACCAUGACAACAUCAGAUGGAAGCCAGAAAAAGAUAGACCCUACAAAGAAGUAUCAUAGAUCAACUUUCAUUGCUUUGACAAACAAGAUCCAAAUGUUUACCUCAUGCGACGAACAGGAUUGUAGUGCACCUCCGCCCAAAAGCUCAAGUAAAUAACUGCACAAAACAAGAGUUUGCAAGGGAAUUGGAAUUCAGAUCUCAUCCAACAUUUUCAUGAAUCUUUCUUCCUUUUUUCUUCCCUUUUUUUUUUUGGAAACUAACUGGUUAAAUUAAGCUGAAUAAGAAUUUUUCUUGUUCUGAUUAUUUGAGUGUUCAAUGUAAUAAACUUUUCCCCAUUUUACAUUUCCUAAUUCCAUAAUCAACAAAUUUUAUUCUACAACAAAAAAAUCUUACAUGUAAAAUCUCUACAUAUUAGAAAGAUGGUGGAGCAUUCUUCGCUUUUAGAUUUGUAUCAAUCAACAAAUAAGUUUAAAAUGUAAAACUAUCUAAUCUUACCUCCAUUGUUGGACUUUAGCACUUUUGGAAGGAUCUCGAUGCAACAUGUAUCCUUGAAUGAAGUUAUCAUAAAUAUCUUGAUACCAUACUGCAAUUGCAUGGCAACAUGCAUAGACAUUAGUUAAAGAAGCUUCAAGCCUCUAAAAUAAAAAAGCCGACCGACAGCAAACAUGUAACAUACAUGAAGAAAUCAUAAAAAAUAAUAAUUAAAAAGUAAUAAAGUAAUGUAGCAACCUUGCUUGCUUGCUUGCAUGGAAUUUCAUGUUAGUAGCUACAUUACUUGCAUAUUUCAAGUUGUAUAUAAUGCAUUGAGAAAAAGAUACUGUCAGAGAAGAACAGCAAUUACACAAUUUUUAUCCUAGAAAGAAUCGCUCAUAAGCAUGAAAGCAAUUCACUUAAUUAAAGUUAUGAGGAUUGAUAUAAUAAUCCCUAGUCGUCUCAUAAAGAAUUUGGGCUCACAAAAAGCAGAGUGAAGGAAAAAGAUUAACGUAACUCAAUUCAGCUAGUUGGAGAUUCAGGUUUAGGUGAAUUCAGUUGCAUGAAUAACUAGUUGAAUCCAUAUUUUCAAUAUCCAUUAGUGAUUACCAUCAAAUUCACAAUUCAUUGAUACAUUCCAGAAAAGGUUAAUAAAUAACAUGAAGAUCAACAGAAAGAAAAGCAGACAAAA
rnacentral:lncRNA from 1 species